ACAAUUCCAUGUUUUGGCUAAGAAGCCAUGUGCAGGAGGGCAAGAGGAGAGGAAGUAUCCUGGAUUUCUCAGAUGACUAUGAUCUAAGCCUGAGAACUCAAGAGUGGUGAGGAAACUCAGGCAGGGAAAAUGUGUAUAGUCUCUGCAGUGCAUUGUGACUUGGAACUGUGUGCUCCCUUGGAACAUCAAAUCUAUUGCUGCGAGGAGAUGUGAAGUAUAGUGCACAAGCACAAGGUUUCUGAGCCUCCCUUGCUGACUGAAAAGUUACGACUAAUUUUGUGAAGUCAAAAGUUUUAUUUGGAAGAGAUACAGACUAACACGGCUGCUACUCUGAAAAUAAUAAUUUUACAACUUAUGAUCUGGAGCUGCACAAAAUUUAAUGAGGCUGGGAGUACACAGUGUGUAGAGUUAAAUUUCAAUUAAAGCCUCGGGUCAAGCUUGUUACCAAUGAAGUCAGAAUUGAAUAGCAAAGAGUCCAUUAAUUUCAGAAGAGGAAGAUCAGACCCCUAGAAAUUACUGCCAUGGAACAGGCUGUCCA